UUGGUGGCCGACUUAUGUGAGCAGCAAGGUGGAUGAUCAUUUGCGUGUUUGUAACCUGUUCAAUGCCGAUGGUAGGGGCUGGAGAAAGUAGGAGAUCACUAACUUAUUUGGCGGUCCGUUCAUUGAUCGGAUCUUUGCCACUCUGAUUUUGGUUCACCGUAGCUAGGAUUUAAAGGUGUGGGGUGCCCUAGGGUCCUCUUCAGGGAUCUGUCUGAGAUGUGCAGGCCGAUGAUGGAUAGGAGGAUCAUAU
rnacentral:lncRNA from 1 species